UACGAAGGGUGCAAGCGUUAAUCGGAAUUACUGGGCGUAAAGCGCGCGUAGGUGGCUUGAUAAGUUGGAUGUGAAAUCCCCGGGCUCAACCUGGGAACUGCAUCCAAAACUGUCUGGCUAGAGUGUGGUAGAGGGUAGUGGAAUUUCCAGUGUAGCGGUGAAAUGCGUAGAUAUUGGAAGGAACACCAAUGGCAAAAACGACUACCUGGACUAACACUGACACUGAGGUGCGAAAGCGUGGGGAGCAAACAGG
rnacentral:rRNA from 1 species